GAUGAACGCUGGCGGCGCGCCUAACACAUGCAAGUCGAACGAUUAAAGUACCUUCGGGUGUGUAUAAAGUGGCGAACGGCCGAGUAACACGUGGGCAACCUGCCCCUUUCAUUGGGAUAGCCACGGGAAACCGUGGAUAAUACCGAAUACUUCGAGACUUCCGCAUGGAAGACUCGAGAAAGCUCCGGCGGAGAGGGAUGGGCCCGCGGCCUGUUAGCUUGUUGGUGGGGUAACGGCCUACCAAGGCAAUGAUGGGUAGCUGGGUUGAGAGACCGACCAGCCAGAUUGGGACUGAGACACGGCCCAGACUCCUACGGGAGGCAGCAGUGGGGAAUCUUGCACAAUGGGCGAAAGCCUGAUGCAGCGACGCCGCGUGCGGGAUGAAGGCCUUCGGGUUGUAAACCGCUUUCAGCAGGGACGAGGCGAAAGUGACGGUACCUGCAGAAGAAGCCCCGGCUAACUACGUG
rnacentral:rRNA from 1 species